rnacentral:rRNA from 1 species
AGGAGAGUUUGAUCCUGGCUCAGGAUGAACGCUAGCUACAGGCUUAACACAUGCAAGUCGAGGGGCAGCAUGAUCGAAGCUUGCUUUGAUUGAUGGCGACCGGCGCACGGGUGAGUAACGCGUAUCCAACCUUCCCUAUAGUAGAGGAUAGCCCAGCGAAAGUCGGAUUAAUACUCUAUGUUUUCCAAUGCAGACAUCUAAGUUGGAACAAAGGUUCACCGCUAUAGGAUGGGGAUGCGUCUGAUUAGGUUGUUGGCGGGGUAACGGCCCACCAAGCCUACGAUCAGUAGGGGUUCUGAGAGGAAGGUCCCCCACAUUGGAACUGAGACACGGUCCAAACUCCUACGGGAGGCAGCAGUGAGGAAUAUUGGUCAAUGGGCGAGAGCCUGAACCAGCCAAGUAGCGUGCAGGAUGACGGCCCUAUGGGUUGUAAACUGCUUUUAUACGGGGAUAAAGUGAGGGACGUGUCCCUUUUUGUAGGUACCGUAUGAAUAAGGACCGGCUAAUUCCGUGCCAGCAGCCGCGGUAAUACGGAAGGUCCGGGCGUUAUCCGGAUUUAUUGGGUUUAAAGGGAGCGCAGGCUGAUUAUUAAGCGUGACGUGAAAUGUAGCCGCUCAACGGCUGAACUGCGUCGCGAACUGGUAGUCUUGAGUGAGUUCGAUGUUGGCGGAAUUCGUGGUGUAGCGGUGAAAUGCUUAGAUAUCACGAAGAACUCCGAUUGCGAAGGCAGCCAACAAGGCCUUUACUGACGCUAAAGCUCGAAGGUGCGGGUAUCGAACAGGAUUAGAUACCCUGGUAGUCCCCU